rnacentral:rRNA from 1 species
GUCAGCGGUGGACGUCUUGACUUUUUAGAGGAAAAUACAUAUUAAUAAGCGGGGGAGGUUGCCCCUUUAUGGGAAGUGCUUCACUGCGUGCGCGGGGGGGCCGGCCCUGCUGAAUUAUUCACCCGUGUCUUUUGCGUACUUCUUGUUUCCUGGGUGGGCUCGCCCGCCCUCAGGACCAACCACAAACCUUUUGCAAUAGCAAUCAGCGUCAGUAACAACGUAAUUAAUUACAACUUUCAACAACGGAUCUCUUGGUUCUGGCAUCGAUGAAGAACGCAGCGAAAUGCGAUACGUAGUGUGAAUUGCAGAAUUCAGUGAAUCAUCGAAUCUUUGAACGCACAUUGCGCCCUUUGGUAUUCCAAAGGGCAUGCCUGUUCGAGCGUCAUUUGUACCCUCAAGCUUUGCUUGGUGUUGGGCGUCUUUUGUCUCCAGUUCGCUGGAGACUCGCCUUAAAGUCAUUGGCAGCCGGCCUACUGGUUUCGGAGCGCAGCACAAGUCGCGCUCUUCGCCAGCCAAGGUCAGCGUCCAGCAAGCCUUUUUUUCAACCUUUGACCUCGGAUCAGGUAGGGAUACCCGCUGAACUUAAGCAUAUCAAAACGGGAAGAAAGUGGACUUUUUGAUGAUUUUCUCAUCUAUAGAGCGGAAGAGGCUCUGCGCAUAUUAGGGAAACUUUAUCCUCCAAAAGGGGGGAGAGAAGCCCACUUUAUAGAGAAGUUCUUCUCUCUAAAAAAAGGAAAAGAGACUCCCAAUUGAGAGAAUCUACUCCCUAUAGAGAGAGAAAGGUUCUCUCUCUUAUUGGUAUAUCUUCCAGCAGCGAAGGCGUAAGCCCUUGCUUCUAUGAGCGUAUCUCUUUCCCCUAUCAUUGAGACGUCCCCCGCUUUUAUAGUACUUUACCCUACCUGCAUAACAUAUAGCUCACCUUACUCCCUCCAACGUCUUAGUCCUCGUAACCA